AACUUGAUAUACUGUUGUUGUCACUGUAUUAAAUUAAGUAGAGCUGAUUGCUCUUUUGAUGAUGCCAAACUGUUUUUGCACAAACAAAUCUUUAGGCGUUGAAAAGUUUCAAGAGCACAUCUCUAUUCUUCCACUGUCUCAACCACAACACCUCAAGCUACUAAUUUUCUCAGCACAAACCUUUGGAGUGCGCUAACUGCUAGAUAACCAAUCACCGGACCAAAACAUAGAGUCACUUGAGGCACGCAACAAUAUUUUAGACAAUUGCAAAAGUCCUGCAACAAUAAUUUAAUCCCAAUUUAAGUGUUGUCUGUGUGCACCACUCCAAACAACCACCUUCAGCUUCAAUUCUCCACCAACUUUGCACACCAAAAGCUUGUUGAAGCCAAACACCGAGUUAGUCAAAGAUGGGAUAGUUGUUGCUGCAACCUACUAAACCUGGCACCAAAUCGCUUCAAAUGAAGAUUUGUUUCUUCAAACGCACUCAAUUUUACAAAAAAAAAUCAGUUUAUAAGAUAAAAUUUACGUCUAUUUAUAUAAUUUAAAUUGGUUUUAUCUAUGAAGCUUCCAAAAAGCUUUUAUAACACAUCAGACCUCUUCAUGUUGCAGCUGACUCUAGCUGAACCAAAUCACUUGUAGCAUCCAACUUUGGACACUCAAUCAUGCAACCAAUUUGACACCAGCUAGCAGUUGAUUCAAAGUGGGGUAUUUUACUUGCAGUGCCAACUCAUAAUAGCCUUUCAACACCUCAAAAGUUAGUCUAGCCAGCAGCCCCAAACAUGUCAAACAAAACUGCAUCAGACAAGCACCAUAAAGAAUGCAUCUCACUUUUGGCCAAUCUUUUGAGCUAACAUCUCAAGUGAAGGAGGAGCAACUCAAAUCCAAUCUCUCAGUCAACAAAACCAGAAGAAGUUUUAAGACACGUAAUAAAAGCACUAAGUGAAGAAAGAUACACCAAAACAGAUUUAGGAUUUUGACAAAACAAGGCAAGCAAAUAAAACUUGCAGAAACAUAAAGCUGAAUUAUAUUGAAUUGAAAAAAAAAAAAAAAAAAGACAAACGGUGUAUGAAGCCGAAAGCCUAUAUGAGCUACUUACUAUGACCCGUAUGUUAGAAGUUUGUCUUAGAAGUCCCACAUCUAAAGUGGGCAAAGACUUCCCUCCCUCAUUUGCAUAUAAAUAGAGGUGUAAGGGAAGGUGUAAGAUGCAUCAAAAAUUACUUGUAUCCUCUUUGCUCUAAAGAGAGGGUGUUGUAAUCUCUUCUAUCUAGUAAAUAUUUUUCUUGACCUUGCCCUUGGUCUUGUGUUAGUUAUAAAUUUUCUCAUCUUUAAUUUUAGUUGUGUGUGCUUGUGUUGUAUGACUGAUACCCAACAGUGGUAUAUUA
rnacentral:sRNA from 1 species